UGGCAAGCUGGCGGAGCACUUCUACCUCAAGGCCCUGUAGCUCUGCAACUCGCCACUGGAGUUCGACGAGGAGACCCUCUACUACGUGAAGGUGUACCUGGUGCUUGGUGACAUCAUCGUCUACGACCUGAAGGAGGAGUGGGCACCCAGAAGGGGCCCUGAAGUCAAGGGCAUCGUCCAACCUUUCUACCUCCCCAGCUGAAGACAGGCUGGAGGACAAUUCUCCAGAGUUUCAUAACAAAGAAGAGAAAAAAGAAAUCAAAAA